GACGAACGCUGGCGGCGUGCCUAAUACAUGCAAGUCGAGCGGACGGAUGGGAGCUUGCUCCCAGACCGUCAGCGGCGGACGGGUGAGUAACACGUGGGCAACCUGCCUGUAAGACUGGGAUAACUCCGGGAAACCGGGGCUAAUACCGGAUAACUCUUUCCCUCACAUGAGGGAAAGCUGAAAGAUGGCAUCUCGCUAUCACUUACAGCUGGGCCCGCGGCGCAUUAGCUAGUUGGUGAGGUAACGGCUCACCAAGGCGGCGAUGCGUAGCCGACCUGAGAGGGUGAUCGGCCACACUGGGACUGAGACACGGCCCAGACUCCUACGGGAGGCAGCAGUAGGGAAUCUGCCGCAAUGGACGAAAGUCUGACGGAGCAACGCCGCGUGAGUGAUGAAGGUUUUCGGAUCGUAAAACUCUGUUGUCAGGGAAGAACAAGUACCGGAGUAACUGCCGGUACCUUGACGGUACCUGACCAGAAAGCCACGGCUAACUACGUG
rnacentral:rRNA from 1 species